UCCCUGGUGGUCCAGUGGCUAAGACUCUGCGUUCCCAAUGCAGGUGGCCCGAGUUUGAUCCCUGGUCAGGGAA
rfam:TPA: Bos taurus chromosome 5, whole genome shotgun sequence.